GGAAGGAUCAUUAACACGUACGAAAGUACAACCACCAACCGAGCGAACUGUGUAUACCUCCCCGGAUGCGUGACUGAUACACAAGACAAAGGCUUAUCUUUGAAUGGUAAUGGGCAGCCCAAUUAACUUCGGUUAGUUUGCCAGCUGUUAGCAUGCGUCUUGUGCACUGCGUAGGUCUGCUGUUGUGCUAUGUGAUGUCCUUUCACGAGGAUGUUAUGUGGUAUGAUGUCUAGCGCCUUGCGACGGUCCCAUGCGGCCCCCCCGAAAUUAACCAUAUGCCAAUCCACCUGAAUAACCCUUUGAAUUGCAUUUGACUGAUGUUAAAGCUCUACUAUGAAAAUAGUAUGGGUGACUAGAUUUAAUUCUAACUAAGCACAACUCUUAGCAAUGGAUAUCUAGGUUCUCGCAACGAUGAAGAACGCAGCGAAAUGCGAUAAGUAAUGCGAAUUGCAGAAUUCCGUGAAUCAUCAAAUCUUUGAACGCAAAUGGCGGUCUCGGGAUAGUCCUGGGACCACACCUCUCUGAGUAUCGGUUCUACCUCAUAUCGCCUUCUCUUUAACUGGAUUCACGCCUCACGGUGGGUCUUCGGUUAUCAUAGCUGGCGGAAGAUGAGAGUCUGAGUGUUACUACCCAGUCUCUUGAAAUAUGUCAUCGCAACAAUACCCGACAUCUCUGGACUCUUGUGUUAUACUCCUUUCACGAGGUACUAUAGCAUAGGAUAGCUCGAGCUCAGCUGGCUUGUCUGGCGUGAAUGUCAUGUGGAAAAGAUGGCCUCGUGCCUUCCUGAAACAUGUACCUCUUGACGUCGAAGCUAUACCAAAGGCUAGUUUCGUGUGAACAGUGUAUGGAUGGGACAUGUUGUGUGUCGAAUUAAGCAAGUCACAAGCAAACGGAUAGUAGGGCAACCUAUUGUUACGCGCAAAUGGCUUACCUCUUUUGAAUUAGAUCUCAGAUGAAGUGAGAAGACCCCUGAAUUUAAGCAUAUUAAUAAGGGGAGGAAAAGAAACUAACAAGGAUUCCCUUAGUAACGGCGAGUGAAGCGGGAAAAGCUCAAGAUGAGAAUCGUUGGCCCGUCAACCGGUCAUCGAAUUGUAGCCUCGAGACGUGCUAUCAGCGUGUGACCUAGGUAUAAGUCCAUUGGAAGAUGGCAUCACAGAGGGUGAGAAUCCCGUCCUGGACCUAGAGUUCGCCGCGUACGAUGUACGUUCACAGAGUCGAGUUGUUUGGGAUUGCAGCUCUAAGUGGGUGGUAAGUUUCAUCGAAAGCUAAAUAUAGGCGAGAGACCGAUAGCGAACAAGUACCGUGAGGGAAAGAUGAAAAGAACUUUGAAAAGAGAGUGAAAAAGUGCUUGAAAUUGCUAAGAGGGAAGCGCUGGAAGCCAGAGUUGCGCGCAGUCAUCUUGUUGUGUGCCCCUGUGGGUUGGGUCUGCCUAUUCGCAAGUUAGGUGGGUCCUUCGUCCUGUGGGAGGUAUGCGACUUCAAUGGCUGUGUGCGUGUCAGGAUGAAUUCGAGCGGUGAGAGAAAGGAAUGCGGAAGGUAGGUUUGGUUUCGGCCAAGCUGUUAUAGCCGUGUUCCCCUAUCAUGGCUUGGAUUGAGGAUAUGAUCGGGUGCGCCACACGGCUUGGUCCCUUGUCCCUGCUGGGUAUGUCUCGCGUGGAUAGCAAUGCUAUGCUGUGGGAUGUGCUUGGUACUGGGUGAGAUGACCGUAUGCAUCACGAGCGAUCCUGACUCAAUGGCUUCCAUCGACCCGUCUUGAAACACGGACCAAGGAGUCUAACAUAUAUGCGAGUAUUUGGGUGUAAAACCCGCGUGCGGAAUGAAAGUAAAGGUAGCUUCGGCUACUGAGGUAGGAAACCCGCAAGGGUGGCACUAUCGACCGAUCAUCACUUGUGAAAGAUUUGAGUGCGAGCAUAUCUGUUGGGACCCGAAAGAUGGUGAUCUAUGCCUGAACAGGGUGAAGCCAGGGGAAACUCUGGUGGAAGCUCGUAGCGAUACUGACGUGCAAAUCGUUCGUCUGAUUUGGGUAUAGGGGCGAAAGACUAAUCGAACCAUCUAGUAGCUGGUUCCCUC
rnacentral:misc_RNA from 1 species